UUUCUUUUAAAAUCUUAGGCUGGCAUGUUUGGUUCAUGAUUGGAAUAAAAAUAAGAAAUGAAAUUAAAUUGCAUUGGAAUCGAAACUAGAAUGGUGAAUCAUCAAAAAAAAUGUUUGGUUUAUGAUUGAAAUGGAAAUUGAAACAGCCAUAUAAAAUUUUGAAAAAAAAUUUGGUGAAGAGAGAGGAGAACGAUGAAGGGAGAGGAGAGGAGGUGUUCGUGAGAGAUGGUUUUAUGUGAUUUACUUUGAAAUUGAUCAAUCCUGAAUUCAAAGCUAAAUUUAUUACUACUAUUCUACUCUGGAAUGGAAAUCAUAAUCCAAUUCCUGUAAAACAAAUAACAACUAAUCGGAAUCAAUGAAUUUCAUUCCAAUUACGUAGUUUAAAAUAGGUAAACCAAACUAAAUGUCUAUUUCGAUAUUCAUUUAAAUAAUGAACCAAACAUUUUUGGAUAUGCAUGAUUCUAUUUUUCAUUUUAAUACAAUCUAAUUUCAUAUCCCAUUUCUAUU
rnacentral:lncRNA from 1 species